rnacentral:tRNA from 1 species
GCCCGGGUGGCGGAACUGGUAUACGCGCAACACUUAAAAUGUUGUCCCCAAAAGGGAUGUGGGUCCGAUUCCCACCCCGGGCA